AGCUUGCUCUCUGCUGACGAGCGGCGGAGGGAGUGUAAUGCAUAGGAAUCUGCCUGGUAGUGGGGGAUAGCCCAGAGAAAUUUGGAUUAAUACCGCAUACGCCCUACGGGGGAAAGCAGGGGAUCUUCGGACCUUGCGCUAUCAGAUGAGCCUAUGUCGGAUUAGCUAGUUGGUGAGGUAACGGCUCACCAAGGCGACGAUCCGUAGCUGGUCUGAGAGGAUGAUCAGCCACACUGGGACUGAGACACGGCCCAGACUCCUACGGGAGGCAGCAGUGGGGAAUAUUGGACAAUGGGCGCAAGCCUGAUCCAGCCAUGCCGCGUGUGUGAAGAAGGCCUUCGGGUUGUAAAGCACUUUCAGCGAGGAGGAAAGGAUGGUUGCUAAUAUCAACCGUCUGUGACGUUACUCGCAGAAGAAGCACCGGCUAACUCCGUGCCAGCAGCCGCGGUAAUACGGAGGGUGCAAGCGUUAAUCGGAAUUACUGGGCGUAAAGCGUGCGUAGGCGGCCUUUUAAGUUGGAUGUGAAAGCCCCGGGCUCAACCUGGGAACGGCAUCCAAAACUGAGAGGCUCGAGUGCAGAAGAGGAGUGUGGAAUUUCCUGUGUAGCGGUGAAAUGCGUAGAUAUAGGAAAGAACACCAGUGGCGAAGGCGACACUCUGGUCUGACACUGACGCUGAGGUACGAAAGCGUGGGGGAGCAAACAGGAUUAGAUACCCUGGUAGUCCACGCCGUAAACGAUGUCUACUAGUUGUCGGGACUCUUGCAGUCUUGGUAACGCAGCUAACGCGAUAAGUAGACCGCCUGGGGGAGUACGGCCGCAAGGCGAAACUCCAAUGAAUUGACGGGGGCCCGCACAAGCGGUGGGAGCAUGUGGUUUAAUUCGAAGCAACGCGAGAACCUUACCUGGGCCUUGACAUCCUGGCGACUUUCCAGAGAUAGAAUGGUGCCCUCCGGGAACCGCAAACACAGGGGCUGCAUG
rnacentral:rRNA from 1 species